AUUGAACGCUGGCGGCAUGCCUUACACAUGCAAGUCGAACGGCAGCGGGGGAGAAGCUUGCUUUUCCUGCCGGCGAGUGGCGAACGGGUGAGUAAUACAUCGGAACGUGCCCUGUAGUGGGGGAUAACUAGUCGAAAGAUUAGCUAAUACCGCAUACGACCUGAGGGUGAAAGUGGGGGACCGCAAGGCCUCAUGCUAUAGGAGCAGCCGAUGUCUGAUUAGCUAGUUGGUGGGGUAAAGGCCUACCAAGGCGACGAUCAGUAGCUGGUCUGAGAGGACGAUCAGCCACACUGGGACUGAGACACGGCCCAGACUCCUACGGGAGGCAGCAGUGGGGAAUUUUGGACAAUGGGCGAAAGCCUGAUCCAGCAAUGCCGCGUGUGUGAAGAAGGCCUUCGGGUUGUAAAGCACUUUUGUCCGGAAAGAAAUGGCUCUGGUUAAUACCUGGGGUCGAUGACGGUACCGGAAGAAUAAGGACCGGCUAACUACGUGCCAGCAGCAGCCGCGG
rnacentral:rRNA from 1 species